CUCCUGGGGCCAUAUGCUUCGUUCAAGGGCUAAGCCAUGCAUGUCUCAGAGCAAAUGGUUAGAAACAGUGGGUCUGUCUAUGGCUCCUUACAUCAGCAGUCACCUGGGUGGUAAUUCCAACACAGUGGGAAAUCCUCCAAAACCUGGUGGCUAAUACCCGAAUCAACUGGCCCACACAGAAGGAAGGGUGUACAAGUGUGCACUCUGUGUGUGGAGCUUGCUACCAGCUUAGAUACAGACUGGCACCCACAACCUGAGCUUAUCAGAGUUGUACAGGGUAGAUUGUUGUUGACCCAGGCUGGUGACACUAAUAGCUUUGGCACUCUUAGAUGGUGUUCAAUUACACCACUUGCUUGAUCACCCGGGCUUCUGACCUAUCAGCUAGACUGUGGUGCAAUGGACCACAAUGGCACUUACGGGUAACGGGGAAUCAGGGUUCGACUCCGGAGAGGGAGCCUGAGAGAUGGCUACCACUACCAAGGUG
rnacentral:rRNA from 1 species